CCCACCUCAGUGUCCCCAGCAUCCUCCAGGUCCUACCUCGGUGUCCCUGAUCUCCUCCAGGUCCCACCUUGGUGCCCCUCAAUCUUCUUCAGAUCCACCAGCUCCCACCUUGGUGACCCCAGAUCUUCUCCAGGUCCCACCUCGGUGACUCCCAUGUCCACCAGGUCUCACCUCGGUGACC